UACGUAGGGGGCAAGCGUUGUCCGGAAUCAUUGGGCGUAAAGAGCGUGUAGGCGGCCCGGUAAGUCCGCUGUGAAAGUCCAGGGCUCAACCCUGGGAUGCCGGUGGAUACUGUCGGGCUCGAGUCCGGAAGAGGAGUGUGGAAUUCCUGGUGUAGCGGUGAAAUGCGCAGAUAUCAGGAAGAACACCCGUGGCUAAGGCGGUUCUCUAGUACGGUACUGACGCUGAGACGCGAAAGCGUGGGGAGCGAACAGG
rnacentral:rRNA from 1 species